CGAGCGGACAGAUGGGAGCUUGCUCCCUGAUGUUAGCGGCGGACGGGUGAGUAACACGUGGGUAACCUGCCUGUAAGACUGGGAUAACUCCGGGAAACCGGGGCUAAUACCGGAUGCUUGUUUGAACCGCAGGUUCAAACAUAAAAGGUGGCUUCGGCUACCACUUACAGAUGGACCCGCGGCGCAUUAGCUAGUUGGUGAGGUAAUGGCUCACCAAGGCAACGAUGCGUAGCCGACCUGAGAGGGUGAUCGGCCACACUGGGACUGAGACACGGCCCAGACUCCUACGGGAGGCAGCAGUAGGGAAUCUUCCGCAAUGGACGAAAGUCUGACGGAGCAACGCCGCGUGAGUGAUGAAGGUUUUCGGAUCGUAAAGCUCUGUUGUUAGGGAAGAACAAGUACCGUUCGAAUAGGGCGGUACCUUGACGGUACCUAACCAGAAAGCCACGGCUAACUACGUGCCAGCAGCCGCGGUAAUACGUAGGUGGCAAGCGUUGUCCGGAAUUAUUGGGCGUAAAGGGCUCGCAGGCGGUUUCUUAAGUCUGAUGUGAAAGCCCCCGGCUCAACCGGGGAGGGUCAUUGGAAACUGGGGAACUUGAGUGCAGAAGAGGAGAGUGGAAUUCCACGUGUAGCGGUGAAAUGCGUAGAGAUGUGGAGGAACACCAGUGGCGAAGGCGACUCUCUGGUCUGUAACUGACGCUGAGGAGCGAAAGCGUGGGGAGCGAACAGGAUUAGAUACCCUGGUAGUCCACGCCGUAAACGAUGAGUGCUAAGUGUUAGGGGGUUUCCGCCCUUUAGUGCUGCAGCUAACGCAUUAAGCACUCCGCCUGGGGAGUACGGUCGCAGGACUGAAACUCAAGGAAAUUGACGGGGGGCCGCACAGCGGUGGAGCAUGUGGUU
rnacentral:rRNA from 1 species